rnacentral:tRNA from 1 species
GGGCCUCUAGCUCAAUGGUUAGAGCUGCGGACUUUUAAUCCGUAGGUUCCGGGUUCGAGUCCCGGGGGGCCCA